rnacentral:rRNA from 1 species
GGCAGCACAGAGGAGCUUGCUCCUUGGGUGGCGAGUGGCGGACGGGUGAGGAAUACAUCGGAAUCUACUCUGUCGUGGGGGAUAACGUAGGGAAACUUACGCUAAUACCGCAUACGACCUACGGGUGAAAGCAGGGGAUCUUCGGACCUUGCGCGAUUGAAUGAGCCGAUGUCGGAUUAGCUAGUUGGCGGGGUAAAGGCCCACCAAGGCGACGAUCCGUAGCUGGUCUGAGAGGAUGAUCAGCCACACUGGAACUGAGACACGGUCCAGACUCCUACGGGAGGCAGCAGUGGGGAAUAUUGGACAAUGGGCGCAAGCCUGAUCCAGCCAUACCGCGUGGGUGAAGAAGGCCUUCGGGUUGUAAAGCCCUUUUGUUGGGAAAGAAAUCCAGCUGGCUAAUACCCGGUUGGGAUGACGGUACCCAAAGAAUAAGCACCGGCUAACUUCGUGCCAGCAGCCGCGGUAAUACGAAGGGUGCAAGCGUUACUCGGAAUUACUGGGCGUAAAGCGUGCGUAGGUGGUCGUUUAAGUCCGUUGUGAAAGCCCUGGGCUCAACCUGGGAACUGCAGUGGAUACUGGGCGACUAGAGUGUGGUAGAGGGUAGCGGAAUUCCUGGUGUAGCAGUGAAAUGCGUAGAGAUCAGGAGGAACAUCCAU